CUCCCUGCUGCCCUCGCUCCUGCCCACCUCCCCCGCCUGCAGGGCUGGGGGCGCGGCGGCGGCUCUCGCUCCUGCUUUCCCAGGGAUGCUGUGCGGUCGGCCAGCCCCUGUUCUCCCGCUGAGCAUCCAUCGCAGCCCUGCCCCUUUCGCUGCCUGCGAGCCAGACGCGCCCCGAGCCGGAGCAGGCGGCGGAGCCUGGCGCCGCGGGUCGUGCCCAGGGCCAGCCGGCGGCGUGGAUGAGGUUGAUGCUCCUCUGCUGCACCUGGAGGGACGAGCCUAUGGGAGAGGACGAAGGAAGCGACCUGCCUGUAUGUGCGAGCUGUGGCCACAGUAUCUACGAUGGGCAAUACCUCCAGGCCCUGAACGCUGACUGGCAUGCCGACUGCUUCAGGCUGCUGGCUGCGGUCUGGGGGGAAGUGAGAGCAAGUGUCUCUCCGUGAGUCACUGAGGCCAGAGCUGUGGGGAGCAGGCUGAGGAGGAGGGGAUGAUGUCAUGGGUUCCUGGUCCCUCCUCCCCCUCUCACUUAAUGCUUCCAGCUCUUUGAAGUGUCUGUAGGAAUUAGAAGCCACAGAAGUGUGUGCAGGGCCUCCCUGGCCAGCUGGGGGAGGCGCCCCCACGGCUGAGUGCAGGGCCCCACCAUCCCAGCAGGGGCAGUGAGUGCCGCUCACUGAGGCGCAGGCCGCACGGCCCCGGACUCAUUCUGGUUCGGAGGAUGCUGACUGCUGUGCUCAAGAAGAGCCGCUUCCUGAGUGCUGGAGCCAAGUAAGUGUGUGGGGCUGCUCUGGCUCACCCCUGAGCCUCUGCCGUGGCUAGGGGCACCGCAUCACCAUGGGCUUGGGGACACGGUGUGGGACAGUUUGCGAUGGAGUCCGGACAGCACCCUGGGGUCCCAGCCCAAGACAUGGAUAGAGGGAAGGAGGCAAUCCCAAGGAAAAGGAGUGUGCCUGGAGACAUACUGCCAAGGAAAUAGAAACCGUGGCAGGAAAUGUCCCCUUCCGCCCCCCUUCCCUCCCCCCAGCCCUCUAGCCUAUGCAGCUACCCCCCGACAUAUCUCUCCUCACACAGCCUGCUCACUGCUUCUCCUGCACUCCCCCAGUUAGCAGGCAGCUGAGGCCAGACCAGCUGUGGGAGGUGGAGGAGCUGAGCAGGGUGGGGGUGAUGGUGAGAUUCUGAUAACCUUCUGGGGGCUGCGGCUGGAGCUGGAAUUUUCCUCCCCCAGGCUGGAGGGAAUUGACUUUCGGUGACUAGAGGAACCUUCUGUGCGUUGCAGCAUUUGGUACCUUGUUAUGCACUUGGUAAAAAGUCUGGCUGCUUUUUGUGUGAAAUAUCCCCCCCAACCUCUACCCAGCACCGAGGAACUGAAAACUCCUCUGCUCCAAAGUUGGCAGCUUUACCAGCCAUCUGGGUGUGUGUGUCGUUAUCCCCUUUAUCAGAUGGGGAACCUGAGACACCCUGAGAGGAAGUGAUUUAUGUGGGUGGGGGAGGGAGGCUGGGCUCUGUUGGAUUGAGCAAGGGUUGGGAAGUCAGGUGAGUGAGUUGGAUUCUUACUCUGGAUCUGAUUUAGGCCAAGCGGACACUGCACCCUGCCAGUGGGACUGCCAGGGUCGAUCAAAGGCAGGUGGGUUUGCCUGCUCUGAGCAAGGCUAGGGGACAUGCCCUGGGCGCUCCCCAUCGCUGCUCCCUCCGGCAGAGCUGCACAGGGGCUAGAGCAAAGGUCUUUGCACCUCGCUCUCCUGCAAGGCUGAGAGCCCAUGCAGCAUGGCGACCCAACCGCUGCACCCCUCCCAGGAUCACGGAUCAACCCCAAAGGUCCAUCUCUUCCUAUGGAACUUCCUGCAGCCUAGCAAGUGGGGUUCUCCUAUUUAGAUCUGUACAACGUGCGUGUGCACUGGCGCUAUAUGUCUGAGCGCACACGUGUGCAGCUAUCUGUGCAUGCACGAGUGUGUGAGCGCACAAGCCCCAGUCAGGAGCCUGUCAGGGUCCGUGGUCCUAGCCAGGGUGCAGGGGGAACACAGGGCACCCAGAACGCUGCUGCACCAGGUCCACCUGUGCAGGGCGCCCGGCUGCACACCCUCCUGGCAGGCCCAGGGCCAGGAAGAGUGGCGAGAGCGUGGCCCACCCGCAGGGUGCUACAGGGUUGGGUGAGAGCAGGGGCACUCCCACACCAGCACUGCGAAGGUUAACGCAGCUGGGUUGCGCCCGGACGCGCGUCCUCAUUGGUCAGCGCCCUCCCGGGAGAGUUUGACUCAAGCAAUCGGAGGGCGGAUUCCCUGCCAGGGUGACGUAAUGGGGCUGCCAGGGAAUGACAUCAUCGCAAUUGACAUGCGACCCACGUGCUGCCGAGAGGGGGAGGAGGCAGGAGGGGGCUGCAGAAGCACAACCCCACCCCCACC